GGGACACGGUCAGUGGGCAUGGUGGGGAUGGGCUGGGAUUGGACUUGAGGAUCUUGGAGGUCCUCUCCACCCUUAAUGGUUCUGUUAUUCU
rnacentral:miRNA from 12 species